CUGCUCUCAUAGGCCAAAGUCAAGGUGCCAGUGGGCCGUGCUCUUGUCUGGGGCUCGAGGAAAGAACAUGCUUCAGGCUCACUGGGGGCUAGAGGACUUCUCCCUGUGGCUGAGGGACAGAGGCCCCACUCCCCUGUGGGCUGUCAGCUCAAGGCUGGCUGCAUCCGCCUUCUCAAAGCCAGCAAGGGCACCCUGAGUCCUCCUCACGCCGAGUCCUCUCUGCCACCCUCUUCCGCCUGCAUCCAGAGGACGCUCUCUGCUGUCAGGGCUCCCCCAGAAACCAGGAUAACCUCCCUCGUUUAAGGCCAACUGUCCAGAGAACAAUGUGCCUCAGGGCGGCCUCUCAUCACACUCAAGCUUCUGGGGCCUCAGCCGCGCUUCUGACCUCAGGUCCAGCCACACAUCCCGCCCCCGAGGGAAGGAUUCAGACCUGGAGCCCUUUUUCUUGAGGAGCUGGGCAGUGGUGGGCUGGACAGCAGAAGGAAGUCCAGAAGCCAGAUCUGCACAACGGAUCACAAAGAAAACAGCCGAUGAUGGCUCAUGAGGGUGUCUCAGGGAGGCCGUCGGGGCCCCUGCACCUUGAGUUGUUCUAAGGUUGCUGGAGCUGACACCCAGGUGAACGCGGCUGGGACGAAACAGUGGUGCCGAGGACGGCCAGGUGAGCAGCAGAGGACGAUGACAGGAAUUCUGAGUCCGCCUCAGUGAACAAAGCGGCGUGUGGCACACGGUCAUGCCACGAGCCUGAGAGCAGAUUGCAAAGCAAAGCGUGUAGUGCAAUCCAACUUUUGGAAAGAAAAAUAAAUCCUUUAUAUAUGACGGUGUAAUAAAGAAUUGAACCUUGCCCAGAGAGACCUGGCCUCUUCCCCCAGCUUCUGAGAGGUGGUCUCUAAGCCACAUGGGACGGUCUUGGUUUGCCUGGGCCUUUGGACCACACCAGGAGGCCUAAAGUGUGAUUCAGGUAGGGGUUGCGAUGAGCUCACCCUCGAGUGAGCUGGAGACCUCCAUCCGCAUGGGCAGUCAACCAUGGGGCCCCAGCAAAGGCUCUGGGACACUAAGCUCGGGGGAUCCCACCUGGAUGCCCCAAGUGACACUGCCCACAGCUCUGUGGGGAAGGACCCUCUGCAGGUGGGAACUUCCUGGACUCCGGCCUGAGCGCCUUUCCCUGGGUUGAUAGUCAUCUGUGUCCUACCCUUGUGCUAAGUCAUGACCAUGAGUAUAUCAGCUUUCAGUGAGUUUUUCUAGCGAAUUAUCAAAACUGAGGGUGGUCUUGGAGACCCCUACCCUUGUAACUGGUGAAGAAUUGAGGACAGUUUUGUAGAUUAUGGUUCCCUCUAGCCCUGCAAUGAUGUUGACUGUAAGUACAUUAAAGUAUUUGUUAGACACUGGAAAACGAUAUGCAAAAUGUAGGAAGUGGAUGCCUC
rnacentral:lncRNA from 1 species